rnacentral:lncRNA from 1 species
AUUAUGAAAAUAGCACAUCUGAGCAGAGGUAUGUUAUUAUGGUGUGAGUUCUGUGUUCUCUCCCUUUACUAUAGAAGGACAUGCCCCAGCCUCUUACUGCUCCUUCAUCCUGGAUCCUAAAGUGGAAAGACAUGAGACACUCCUGAACUUAACUUGGUGUAAUGUGGCUGAAAUGCUGACCUACAAACUCACGGGCAAGAUUACAGGUCAGCUCUUGGUCAGCUCUUUCCAAGCAGUGGCCCAAGGAUCCAGCUAUCUUGUGUCAUGGCCCCAUGAUUCUGGACUUCUUAGUUCACAGCUGUGUAGACAGGAAAAGAGUUGCGGAUCUUGGGAGAUUUUAGAGACCAAGCCUAGAGGGCCAUACACCAUUUCCCCUACAUUUUACUGGCUGAAAUUGAGCACAGGGCUCCUUUCUCCCUGCAAAAAAGCCUGGCCUCUGAGAUGUGCUCCUGGUGAGCUCCAACCUUUGAGAACUAGCACCAGGCCUUUACAGUGCUUCGUGGUGCCUGGUCAUUGGCCUGACUACUGCUUUCUAGAAUUGAGGGAAUGGGUAAAGCAGAGAGAGAACAGCAGAUGCUGGCUUCUGGGAAACCAGCCUGGUGACCUGAAACUGGAGAAGUUCCCCCGACGGUGUGAGGAGGAUUGUCCUCCUGACCCCUCACCUCCCCACAGCCCUGGGUCACCUUCCUCUGUUUACUGAGAACACGCCUGUGAGAAAAACAGGGCCUGCCUGGGCCAGUGAGCAGUGUAUGAGAGAAUUUGAACUUUAUCGAUCUUGACAUUUCUGCCUUGGUAUGUGUGACUGUUCUUACACAUAUGGAUUGGAUCAAAUGAGAUAAUUUAUGCGAAAGCACUUUGAAAUUUUUAGAGGGCUAUCCAAGGUACUGCUUGUUGUUAUUACUACCAUCCCACAGGAAAGGCUUGCCUCUUUAACAUACCCAAGUAUUUGAUUAAAAUUAGGUGGCAAAUUGACAAACCUAUAAAGUGCUUUCUUGUGUAGCCUGUCACCUAUACCUAUGGUGACCAUAUGGCCUGCAUUUUCCAGGAUGGCCCAGAGUCCAUGUAAUUUUAUUCUUUAUAACAGAAGUGACUUGUUAAAUUCUUAACUAAAUGUCGCUUAAUGAUUAAACCUCUGUAAGACUUUUCUCAAAAAUAAAUCCAUAAGUCAAAA